GUAGGUGAACCUGCGGAAGGAUCAUUAUCAAACGUAUCCACGUUUAUAAACCAAACCGUGAACUGUUUUCAACCACCUUUGGGCUACGGCCGCUGUGAGUGACGUUUAGGGUUCAUUGUAUGAUUAUGGGCCUGUCACACACAAUUAAGGCUGUCUCUCCAAAGCGUAUUAAUCAUACGUUUAAUUACUAUUAACCACUUGAACUAAAUUCAUUGCAUUGUUUGAGCUGAUUUGUUUCUUACUCACUAAC
rnacentral:misc_RNA from 1 species